AAACAACAUCACGUUAACCACGGUUGGAAAAGAGGUCGCCACAGCUAACCAGGGUCAGGCGCCUGACCUUCUCUCUCUGUCUAUUCAAUCACCGCCGUUGGAGUGCAAUCUCUCCUUUCUGACCGUCCGAUUCAUGCGCCACAGCGACCUUGCUCGCCGGUCUCUUUCGUCACCGGCGUCCCUGAGGCUGUAAAUCCCACCCCGCGUUAUGAGAGCGGUCUGAUUGUAAGAUUCUUGGGUUUUCUUGGGAGAACGAGGUUCGGACUAGGCCUUCUUUCGCCAUGGCUCCCUUUCGUAGAAAGGGAACGAGUCAAUCCAAGGCGAAGAAUCUGUGGAGUCUGGGCGAUCUUGUUCUCGCCAAGGUUAAAGGAUUUCCCGCAUGGCCCGCUAAGAUUAGCCGGCCUGAGAAUUGGGAGCGGUCGCCUGAUCCUAGGAAAUAUUUCGUGGAGUUCUUUGGAACUGCCGAAAUUGCUUUUGUUGCCCCAAAUGAUAUUCAAGCAUUUACUAGUGAAUCAAAGCAUAAGUUGCUGUCACGGUGUCAAGGUAAGACUGUUAAAGAUUUUGCCCGUGCGGUGAAAGAAAUUUGCAAGGCUUUUGAAGAACUACAGCAAAAACAUCCAGGUGUUUCUGCAGAGGAUAUCAACAGGACAACUGUUGCUCGUGGGGUGUGUUCAAUUGAUGAUGGAGGAAAUAGUAGCAAACAUCUAGAGCACCAUAAAGCUGCUGAGUUAAAAGUUCAGGUUAGGAUACCUGAAGAGGCAGAAAGUGAUGAUAAUGAGGACCCUGAUGAUGGACUCCAUGGGUUGGAACACUGUUCAAGGAGCUGCACCGGUUCUGUUUCUGUGGAUGUAAAACAUGGAGUUCUGCCUAAUGCAGAACAUAAUUCUUCUAAAUCUAAAGUGUUGUCCCUUAAGAAGGGGAAUAAGACACUCCAUGGAGGUGACCAGGUGGCAGUUUCCAUUACAAGGCCAGUUUCUAGUUCUUCGAUGGAUAAGGAAGAAAUUUCUUCUAGUGAAGUUAUUGGUGGAAAUGGUGAGCUUUUGUGUCCUGAACGUGACAAGGAAGAGAUGCAUUCAAAAGGUUUAGAUGCUAGUAGAUCAAUUAGUGUCUCUCAUACUGAAGGAGAGUCUCCUGUUCGCCUGGUUGAUGAUGGACCCAAGGGUUUUCCACCUUUGGCUGCGUCUUUAUGUGCCAAAAUUUCUGGUGGUGUAGAGAAGGAAAUUAUUAAAGUUCAGCUGAGAACCAAAGUGGUUCCUGAAUUGAAAAGGAAAGUAGAGAGUGCUGAAGAAGUACAGAAAAAGAUUUAUGCAGAUCCAAAGUCAUUUAAGCUUGAUAGUUCUGAGGGUUCUCUUCAGUUGCCUGAAUCUAUAGAACACCUAAAAGAUGAAGUUAUUUGCAAAACUCUCCAAAGAAAAAUUGCUUCACGAGACAGUGCAAGAGAAUCUUUGAAAUCAGAAAUAGAUGCCAGUGAUGCAAAGAAAGUGAAGAACUUGCCGAAGGCUAAGAAGCAUUUGGCAGGAUCAGAUAAGUCUCCUAGACUCCAUGUUUGUAAGAAGUCAAUAUCAGACAAUGCUGAUGAAGAUGACAGUGACGAGGGAUUAUCACUAGUGGAGCGCAGGAAAAAGAGUUCUCAACUCCGAAAGAGAAAAGAUAAAAUUGCUACCAAUGGAGAUUCUCAUCCUGCCAAAAGACCAAGGCAUAUGGUUCAUGGUGAUGAUACAGUAAAGAGAUCGAGAUUAGUGAGUAGAAAGAGUAAUUCUGCACACGCUUUUCUGGUCGAAAACAAGGGAGAUAAAUUAUUGGAAACUAAGACAUCUACAUCAUGUGUCGAGGCUGAGAAUCAUUUAGCAUCAAGAACUGUAGUGUUAAGUGUCAGAAGCCACUUACCAAGUGAUGAAGCUGCACUUCCCUCAGUGAAGCAACACAGCCAGGCAUUGGAGGCUGUGUCUGAUAGUGCUACUAAAGUUGCUGGAGGUACAUCUGAGAAAAGUUCCAACUUCCUUAAAAACGAAAAAUCAAAUUCUGAUUAUGAUAGGUCUUCUGUUACUCGAGUCUUCUCUGGACGGAAAUCCUUUUUUUCACUUGGUGAAGAGGAGGAUGGAGAAAAGCGUAAAACUCCAGUUCACAGGGGAUCUCCAAUCAUGUCAAAGGUAGUGGCUUCCAAUGUAUCAAAUUCUGUGCAGAAAAUCGAUAUGGGCCGAGAAAGUCCCAUCCUUUCUAAGUCAGAAGUUGAAGAUGUCAUCGUUGAAAAUUUGGGUUCUGGAAGACUUGAUGAUAGACCUUGCAAGGAUAGGAUAUCACCUGUCAAACUUCUGGUGUCUCCAUUGCACAGUCCAAGGCCAUUUGAAGAGAAGAGGCCAAAAAAAGUGACAAAGCUGCAUAUUUCCAGUAGUCCUGGCAAGAAAGAAUCUCAGAGAUCAUCUUCAGAGGCUAAACCAGCCAUACGUUCGCCGAAAAGCUCACUUGGGUUGGGUAAUGCAGCCAAGGUAGUGGAACAUAAAGCCAUCCAACUGCAGGUUAAAGCAUCUGGCUCUGCUGCAAAAGUGCAAGGUGGAUCUUCAAAAGAUUUAAGUCUGGCUUCUGAGAGCUUAAACCAUUCUUGUAAUCAUGUGAUGACACAAAGAAAUAUAUCAUCUUCAUCAGAGAGAUUCAAAGUUACUCCAAAGAGCAACUCACAGAUGACUGUGGCGUCUGAGAAUAGGCUCGCUAUUGCUAGUUCAGCUGAACAUGGUAUGGAGAAAGAUAUUUUGCAAGGGGAACGAUUUGAAGUUUCAAAAGGAGAUAAACCUGCUCAUCUGUUGCUAGAUUCCAAGUUCACAGAUUCUGUUAUGUCUAUGAAACAUCUUAUUGCGGCUGCUCAGGCAAAGAGGCAACAAGCCCACUCUCAGGCUCUGCCCCAUGGCGAUGCUCAUCCCGACCCUUUUCCUAGUCCACCCACCACCCAUGGGAGGAGUCCCAGCCCUGUUUCUGCAAUUCAAUCCCUUUCCUCUGGCAAUGUGAUGCAUCCGGCUCCAAAGGCCUUUCAUGAUCCAUCUUUAGCAUCUCCAUCUACUCAUGCUCAUCAACUUGCAUCACAAAAUCAAAUUGAUGCUGAAGAAUAUGAGGGCAGAAUUAGUCCAGGAUUUCAGACACAUGGGGAUUCAUCAAGUGGUGGUACUGAAGCUGCUGUUGCCCGUGAUGCUUUUGAAGGAAUGAUAGAGACAUUGUCUAGGACGAAAGAAAGUAUUGGACGUGCAACACGUCUUGCCAUUGACUGUGCCAAGUAUGGUAUCACUAGUGAGGUUGUUGAACUCCUCAUCAGAAAGUUGGAGAAUGAACCGAGUUUCCAUCGUAGGGUUGACCUUUUCUUUCUUGUGGAUUCUAUCACACAAUGUUCACACAGUCAGAAAGGUAUUGCAGGAGCCUUGUACAUUCCUACAGUUCAAGCAGCGUUGCCACGUCUUUUGGGUGCUGCUGCUCCACCUGGUGCUGGUGCUCGUGAGAAUCGUCGCCAAUGUCACAAGGUUUUGAGGUUAUGGCUUGAGCGACAAAUCCUCCCUGAAUCACUUCUUCGUCGCUACAUGGAUGAUAUUGGAGUUUCUAAUGAUGACAACACUGCUGGGUUUUCUCUUAGACGUCCAUCUCGCGCCGAGCGUGCUGUGGAUGAUCCACUUAGAGAAAUGGAAGGGAUGCUUGUUGAUGAGUAUGGGAGCAAUGUGACAUUUCAGUUGUCUGGAUUUUUAUCUUCUCAUGUAUUUGAAGAUGAAGAAGAUCUUCCUAUCAGCAUAUGCAAGGUGGUUACUGGUAAGGAAUUGGCAGUGGGUGCUGCCAGUGCUAUGGAAGAGCCAGAAACAUGUCCAGUUACUCCAGGUGAUAGGCACCACCACAUUCUAGAGGAGGUUGAUGGAGAGCUUGAAAUGGAAGAUGUGUCUGCAACCUCUAAAGAUGAGCGAGUCACGGUUGGGAAUAGCUUCUUCAAACCUGAAACUUACCAACCUUGUUCAGAUAGAACAUUGGAGUCAGCAUCGAGCAAUCUCACUGAGCUACCAUCUCCGUUGCUGGGUUCUCCCCCAUUACCUUUAGAUUCUCCGCCUCCAUUACCACCAUUUCCUCCUUCACCGCCCCCACCACCUCCACCAUUUUCUCCAUCACCACCUCCAUCCCCACUACCAUCUCUUGUGCCUCCACCACCACUUCCACCUCCAUUACUCACACAUCCACCGCCAUUAGGACCUUCUUCACCGCCAUUUGUACAUCAAUCAUCUCUGUCUCAAGAAUAUUGUAGGACCCCCAAUGGAAACCAAAUUCUCCAAAUUGCUGGAAAUGCACCUCUCCAGGGCCAUGUCAAUGCUGCCCUGAAAAGUGAAAUGGUUCCACAACAGCCUCCUUGCUUCACGGUGAUGGGAAUCUCCCAUACACAAGAUGGGUCUAGCUUUGGUUCCUCAAAAUCAUCUGAAUUUGCACAUAAUGACAUGUAUUUAACCCCACAAGCUUCCCAUCCCAACCAGCAGUUGCAACUGGGUUGCGCAUCUUUCCCACAGAGACCUUACCAUCCUCUUCCUGCACAGAAACCAUCCGGUCAUUUCUCAUAUGUGAGGCCUGCCAUUCAACAAGUGCAGCAGUCAUUGCAUCCUCAACAUGUCCAGCAGCCAUUGCAUCCUCAACACGUGCUGCAGUCAUUGCAUCCUCAACAUGUGCAGCAGCCAUUGCAUCCUUACUCUCUAGUGUCCCAUCCCAAUGGACAGAGGCAAUAUGCUACUGACAAACUGUGGAGGGUGCAUCCUAACAACUUUUAUCCAGAUAAUCAGCAUGGUGUUUGGAUGGCCGGAGGGAGGACACCAUGUUCUGGGACACCUUUGGUCCCGGAAGUAUUCUUUCAGUCACCUGCGGAAAAACCGUGCACUAAUCCCAUGGGUUUUCAACCUGUACAUAAUUCUCUAGCAUCCAGAGCUUCAAUUCCAGCCCAUGGUGUUGCCCAGAUGGUUCCAUGCAGACCAGACGUCUCUGAUAACUGCUGGAGACCAGCAUAAGAAUCGUUCCGAGACAAUGGUUGUAGUGAUCUGUGGGAGGUGAUUGAAGCUUGCCACAGAGGUGCGCAAUAUUCCAGGCUCUUUUCUAGGUGCAGCCCACUUGAUAAGUGGAAUUGGCCUGAUGUACGGGCAAAGGCAUGUUCAAGGUCAGAGCACCUAAUCAUUGGCCCUAGUCUGUCACAUGUGUGCACGUGAUUUUCUUUUUCAAUCUUUUAUCACAUCAAUUGCCAUGGCGUUUGUGCUUGUUUAGGUGGCAGAAAUGCGGUGGCAGCUGAUUCUGCAACAGUGGGUUUGAGUCCUUUUCGGCCCACACUUUCAUGGUUGGAGCAAGAGGUUCAGAAGCAGGAGAAGAGCAUGAUUUUUGAGGAGCGAGAAUCUGAAUUUCAGAUGAAAGAUUGUAGAAGUGGUCUGCUGUACAUGUGUGAAUGUGAUGCAUGUGUGGAAUCCAUACCAUGCAUUGUGGGAUGGGAGGCACCAUGAAGACACCCAGAGCUCAAUGUCCACUCAGGGGGGUGCACGCAUGUGUUCAAUGAGACCAUUAGCCAUCCCUUUUUUUCCAUCCAUCAUUUCUCAUCCAUGCAUUACCCACCUGAUGAAUGGACCGGCAUGGCUUUUAGCCAGUUCAUUGUCAUGGUGGGACCCACCUGAUGGACAGCCCCAUCACAGAUGCUUGUGCAUUCUCAGGUUUGCUGCAAAUCACACUCUUCAGUCCCUAGUGUUGAUUGCCCUUUACAAGAUUCCUGCAAAUCAACCUUGUUAAGUAUAUGUUCCACAAAACUCAGGUCUGCUAAAGAAGGACAUUGAGAAUGCACUGGUCACUUAACCAUCUUUGCUGAUUAUCUCACUUAUGGAACUGAGCUUCUGUUGAUGAGCGGUUAGAAUGCAUUCUUGAACAUGGAAUUCAUGGGCCAACCCUGUAAUGGUAUCCUUUUGUCUUUUCAUUUGUCUAAUUUUUAGUUGUCAUUCUUCUUCUU